UGGGACAACAGUUGGAAACGACUGCGAAUACCCUAUACUCCACUAUGACCUAUGUCGUCUCGGGAAAGUUUUCCGCUAUAGGAUGAGGCUGCGGUCUAUCAGCUAGUUGGUGAGGUAACGGCUCACCAAGGCUAUGACGGAUAGCUGGUCUGAGACGAUGAUCAGCCACACUGGAACUGAGACACGGUCCAGACUCCUACGGGAGGCAGCAGUGGGGAAUUUUACACAAUGGGCGCAAGCCUGAUGUAGCAACGCCGCGUGGAGGAUGAAGGAUUUAGGGUCGUAAACUCCUUUUAUAGGGGAAGAAAUUUGACGGUGCCCUAUGAAUAAGCACCGGCUAACUCCGUGCCAGCAGCCGCGGUAAUACGGGGGGUGCAAGCGUUACUCGGAAUCACUGGGCGUAAAGGUAGCGUAGGCGUUCUAUUAAGUCUUGAGUGAAAUCCUAUGGCUUAACCAUAGAACUGCAUCCAAAACUGUCAGACUAGAGUAAGGGAGAGGUCAGUGGAAUUAGUGGUGUAGGGGUAAAAUCCGUAGAGAUCACUAGGAAUACUCAUAGCGAAGGCGACUGACUGGAACUUUACUGACGCUAAGGCGCGAAAGCGUGGGGAGCAAACAGGAUUAGAUACCCUGGUAGUCCACGCCCUAAACGAUGUACACUAGUUGUUGUGGUGCCAGUCACUGCAGUAAUACAGUUAACGCAUUAAGUGUACCGCCUGGGGAGUACGGUCGCAAGAUUAAAACUCAAAGGAAUAGACGGGGACCCGCACAAGCGGUGGAGCAUGUGGUUUAAUUCGAAGAUACGCGAAAAACCUUACCUGGCCUUGACAUUGAUAGAAUCUGAGAUAGUGGAGUGCCAGUUUACUGGAGCUUGAAAACAGGUGCUGCACGGCUGGCGUCAGCUCGUGUCGUGAGAUGUUGGGUUAAGUCCCGCAACGAGCGCAACCCUCGUGACUAGUUACUAACGGUUCGGCCGAGGACUCUAGUCAGACUGCCUUCGUAAGGAGGAGGAAGGUGAGGACGACGUCAAGUCAUCAUGGCCCUUACGGCUAGGGCGACACACGUGCUACAAUGGGCAGGACAAUGAGACGCAAUACCGCGAGGUGGAGCAAAUCUAUAAACCUGCUCUCAGUUCGGAUUGUAGUCUGCAACUCGACUACAUGAAGCUGGAAUCACUAGUAAUCGGAGAUCAGCCAUGCAACGGUGAAUCCGUCCCCGGGUCUUGUACUCCCCGCCCGUCACACCAUGGGAGUUGAUUUCACCCGAAGCGGGGAAGCUAAACUGGCUACCCUCCACGGUGGAAUCAGCGACUGGGGUGAAGUCGUAACAAGGUAACCG
rnacentral:rRNA from 1 species